AAUCUUUCUACAGGUGGGAAUUUACUUCCAAGAGCCCAACACAAUUUGGGCACGCGUACACCAAACCAACGCGCUACAGGAAAUGACGCAGGAAAUCGAGGUGAUCGCCGGGGACACCCGACAAUCAUGUGCUGACAGUGCGCGCAAGAAAUAUCGACGAGUGCAACUUGUCGUUGAGCAUAGACAACCUCCAACAAGCAGCAAAUGCCUUUCCGGCUGAACCUACAUGUGGACACCACACGCAUCUUGUAAAUACUGAUUUGGAAAAUAUGCGCGCCCGAUUCCACCUUCAGACGCUGUACCAGCGGUGUUGGCUUGGCCACGAACACCCAACAGGCACCCGUGUGACGGUUGUCGCCACAGGGUUAACAGAGGACCUCUCUCGCCGUGUUGCGUCAUUUGUGAUUGGACGUCUGUGAGCCGGUCCAAGCAGGGGAGGGGUGAAAGUCAUUGAAGGAGGAGCGGACGCACCGCGAACGCCGCAUUUGAUUGCAAAUAAAUCCACUUCUGUUGAAGCGCAUCGAAGUACUUUUCGUCAAAAGGUGUUUAAUAAAUAGCGUAUUUUAACUUCGAA